rnacentral:rRNA from 1 species
UACAGAGGGUGCGAGCGUUGUUCGGAAUUAUUGGGCGUAAAGGGCGCGUAGGCGGCGCCACAAGUCACUUGUGAAAACUCUGGGCUCAACUCAGAGCCUGCAAGCGAAACUGUGGUGCUGGAGUAUGGGAGAGGUGCGUGGAAUUCCCGGUGUAGCGGUGAAAUGCGUAGAUAUCUGGAGGAACACCGGUGGCGAAGGCGGCGUUCUGGACUGCAACUGACACUGAUGAACGAAAGCCAGGGGAGCAAACGGG